rnacentral:rRNA from 1 species
GAUGAACGCUGGCGGCGUGCCUAAUACAUGCAAGUCGAGCGAACAGACGAGGAGCUUGCUCCUCUGACGUUAGCGGCGGACGGGUGAGUAACACGUGGAUAACCUACCAAUAAGACUGGGAUAACUUCGGGAAACCGGAGCUAAUACCGGAUAAUAUAUUGAACCGCAUGGUUCAAUAGUGAAAGACGGUUUUGCUGUCACUUAUAGAUGGAUCCGCGCCGCAUUAGCUAGUUGGUAAGGUAACGGCUUACCAAGGCAACGAUGCGUAGCCGACCUGAGAGGGGGAUCGGCCACACUGGAACUGAGACACGGUCCAGACUCCUACGGGAGGCAGCAGUAGGGAAUCUUCCGCAAUGGGCGAAAGCUUGACGGAGCAACGCCGCGUGAGUGAUGAAGGUCUUCGGAUCGUAAAACUCUGUUAUUAGGGAAGAACAAAUGUGUAAGUAACUAUGCACGUCUUGACGGUACCUAAUCAGAAAGCCACGGCUAACUACGUG